rnacentral:rRNA from 1 species
GUUUUUAAAAACAUAGCCCAAAGAUUUAUUUUAGGUAAAUUCUGCCCAGCGUAAUUUAUUAGCGGCCGCAGUACUUUGACUGUGCUAAGGUAGCAUAAUCAAUUGGCUUUUAAUUGUAGUCUGGAAUGAAAGGACUAAUAGGGGUUAGCUGUCUCUAUACUAUUAUUUUGAAUUUAUUUAUUAAGUGAAAAUACUUAUACAAAGAAAAAAGACGAGAAGACCCUUAGAAUUUUAAUAAAAUAUUUAAUAAUUUUUUUUUGUUGGGGCGACAUUGAAACAAUUAAACUUUCAUUGACAAUCAAGACAUUUAGGUUUGAAAGAGUAAAUUACCUUAGGGAUAACAGCAUAAUUAAUUAUUUAGUUUGUGACCUCGAUGUUGGACUAGGAACUAGAAGAUUAACCGUCUAAAUAGAUGUCGUC